rnacentral:lncRNA from 10 species
UGGCCAGAGAAGGCUUUGAAAUUCCAAAUGGCCAGUCUUACUGGUAAGGAGUUUACAGAUGCAGCUGAGGUCUUGGCCCUCUGGAUGUUAAGAAUUGAGCAAAACCAGGGGUGUAUGUAGGCUCUGACGAAGCAGACCGCAGCUCACCAGGAGGUACCAUCUCUCUGAUAAGAAACCUUCUCCUCUUUUGUUUUUUCUCUAUUUUCUUUUUCUUUUAAAACAUUUUUUAUUGUAUAUAUUUAAGGUAUGCAACAUGAUCAUGAUCUUUUCUAGUCAAAUUCCCAAGCCCUGGAAGAACUAGUGUCUGAUUUCAAUAAUCACAGGUUAGUUUUUCUUGUUUAGAAGGGAAGUUUGUAAAAUGAAGCUUUGGUUUUGCCUUCUAAAGAUUAGUGGUUUGAAAUUAUUUUCUCCUUCUUAGAUAUUGAAAUGACUUUUUAAUUUUCUCAAUUCCUAUCUUAAUUUCUAAUUUUUUAUUUAAUAAUUCAUAUUCUCAACCGUGAGUAAUGGAAUCGUAUUUUUAUGCAAAUAAAAAGACAUUAACUUUGGGAAAGAUAUGUAAUGACUCCCUUCUGGGGUUCCAGGAAGUCUGCUGAAUUCAAAUGCAUUUUGGAUGCUAUAAAUGAUACUAAUGUGAGGGAAGAUGGACUAUGUUCAGGAGAACUGCUCUAAAAUUCUUAUCAACUUGUGGUAAACCAUUACCACAACUCUUCACAUCAUUUGCAAAAUAUCAACCUUUCUGAAUUUCUGCAUCUGUUUGAAAAAUUAAACAUUUCUUUAGAGCAAAAGUUUUACCAAAGAUAAAUACACCAUCUUCACGUGGAACAAAGUGUCUGAUUUCAUUUAGCUCUCAUUGUCUUUU